CCCAGACAGCCAGGAUGUUGGCUUAGAAGCAGCCAUCAUUUAAAGAAAGCGUAAUAGCUCACUGGUCGAGUCGGCCUGCGCGGAAGAUGUAACGGGGCUAAACCAUGCACCGAAGCUGCGGCAGCGAACGUAUCACUUAAAGCGAUUCAGCGGGUUACGAUUGACGGAGCGAAGCGACGUCAAAGCGUAUACAAAGUCGAGUCGGUUUAAGGAUACGUUCGUUGGGUAGGGGAGCGUUCUGUAAGCCUGUGAAGGUG
rnacentral:rRNA from 1 species